UACGUAGGGUGCAAGCGUUGUCCGGAAUUAUUGGGCGUAAAGAGCUCGUAGGCGGUCUGUCGCGUCUGCUGUGAAAACUCGGGGCUUAACCCCGGGCCUGCAGUGGGUACGGGCAGACUAGAGUCCGGAAGAGGAGAGUGGAAUUCCUGGUGUAGCGGUGAAAUGCGCAGAUAUCAGGAAGAACACCCGUGGCGAAGGCGGCUCUCUGGGCCUGUACUGACGCUGAGGAACGAAAGCGUGGGGAGCGAACAGG
rnacentral:rRNA from 1 species